CGCAAAUCAGGUGUUCCGCCAUAUUUGUUUUGUUGUGUCGACUGGAAAUAUUUUUGAACUUAUUCUGUUUUGGACUGUACUUAAUUCUUUGUAUUUUGUAAUCGACGUUAAAAAUGACAGGAUAAAAUGACAAACGGUAAGAUAUAGUGAUUUUAGGCUAAUGAUUGCUUUUUACAAAUACUGUACUGUAGUAUUUCGACAGACGACGACCUUGCAGAAAGUUGUACGUGGCAAGUUGUGUAUCGUGCAUUUCUCGAUACAAUGUAUGCCAUAAAUAAAUUAGUCAUAAUCUUCAUUUAAAUGGUUCAAACAGGCAUCACGUUAAUACAAAAUAGUAAAACAAUUUAAUUUAUUAUGAUUUUAAAUACAAAAAAGACUGAUAAAAUUAUGAGAUUGAAUAGACACAGUAGACACUCUCCCCUUGACGAGUAAAAUCGUCUGUCAUUAGACAGGGUAGUAUAAUAUGCUAGCAAUGAGACUCAGUGGGUUAAUCACAUCAAUAGCGGAUAAACACUUUAUAAUGUGAUGAAUACACAAGUCAAUUUUAGCCACAGUUAAAGCCCCGUUUACACGACCAAUUUUUAUGUGACAAUUUUUCAUAUUUUUAUGUGAGAAAUGUAUUUGGUCGUGUAGAUAAGACAACAAAUAAUUGUUGAUGCACUUGAUUCCUGUUUAAAAAAUAUCUAUGAACAGCGCAAUAAAACAUGGCGCUGACACUAAUUAUACUUUUACAAAUAUGGCGGGAGAAAAAAUAUGACAUUUUAUGUGACAAGUAAUCUACACGAGCAAUUUUUCGUAUGUGACAACUUUUAUUUGUCAUAUAAAAGCUAACACGCUAGCUUUUCAGCAACUGUAUUUGCCACACAAAAAUUGCCCAAUUUUCCUCGUCUACACAAGCAAAUAAAAAUUGUCACAUCAAAAUUGUCACAUAAAAAUUGCUCGUGUAAACGGGGCUUAUUAACAGUUUAUAAUGCAAAUGAUGUUAGAUGAAAUUUAAUUGGCUCAGCAAUGGUGUCAGAUUGCCUUCAUUGUAGGGAUGUGCCGAUUAAUCGGCCAAGCUGAUUAAUUUGCCGAUAAUCGGCCAAUUUUUAAUAAUCGGUAAUCGGCCGAUUAUUUCGGUAUAAUUGGCCAUUUGCCGAUUAUUGACCAAUUUCUUUUUCUAUUAGAAAUAAAUGAAAAUCUGUGUAUUCAUUGUGUUUUUUUGCACAUGUUUAACAAUCUUUUCAUGUUACAGAGUGACAUGCAGCUGCUACACAAAUACGUACAAAUUACAUCUUGCAUUCAUCUCACCUCUUAUCUCUUCAUCAGAAAUGCAAUUAUUAAUUAGUGAGAAAAUUGACACUUAUACAUGUGACAAUUUUUUUUGUGAUCGCCUGAUCGGACCAAUGUCCGAUCAAAAUUCCUUUUGCUCGGACGUUUGCCAAAUUUAGUCGGACAUUGUCCGAUGUCCGACAGUAAUUUGCAGCCCUGCCCUAAUGUGCCCUACUUUAUUAUGUUAUAUUAAAUAAUUAAUAUUUAUUUCUAUUCUCCAGUGUAUUCAUUGGAUGGUAUAGUUGUCUUCUCCCUUCUUGUAAUAUGUACAUGUGCAUACAUGAAAAGAGUUCCAAGGUUGAAAGGUUUUUUCCUGUCUGAAAAAAAAGGAUUUUUUGGUGUAUUCUAUAAAGGUCAGUCUUCAAGUCCUAUUUCUACAAGUUGCAUUUGUAGUAUCAUCCAAUGGACCGUUUAUAUCCGUACAUAAUAUAGCUAUUUUUUCAAAAAUUUAUGCAAUUUAAAGUAAAAUUUAACUCCUUGGAACUAUUAAAAUACAAGAAUUUAUACUUUAACUCAUAAUUUUUUUUGUUUUUGUUUCAAUUUCAGCUUCUGUAAUUGGUGUAAGAUUACACUGGAUGGUUGCUGUAACUUGUGCAAUAAUGGCUGUGUACAUAAUGAUUUUGAAAUAAUACAGAUUUUAGAAUGGGUAAAUUAUAUACUGUAUAACAAUGUUGAAAGUUGAAACUGUUUUGCACAGUAGUUGCAUUCGAAUAAGAUCCAAAAGCAAAGUUAACCUUAUAUUCCUGAACGUCUGAAGCUUAACCCUAACCUCAAAGACACAAUGUGAAUGCUUUCCAUCAUAAAUCUUGGGAUGGCUGUACGACUAAAUACGACAAACACUGUAUGGCUUGAGGUUUAAGGUUUAGAGUUUUGAAUGGCAAUAUUUUUUGAAAUAGCUGUACAUAAAUAAUAUAAUAUCAUAGAAUAAUAUUAAGAUAUAGAAUGCGUAUACUUGAUUCUUGAACACGAAUCAUGCCUCCACUUUUAAAAACAAAGUAAUUUCGCGUAAUCAUAAUUUGCUCUGAGACUGAGCGUCACUGUUUUGCUAUCUCAUGAAAUUACAAAAUGAAUGUUCGAAAUUUUCUACAUUUCUGUCUAGAAAAAUCGUUUGACACCCUAUUCUAUCGAGCAUGCAAGAUGCCUAAAAUCUAGAUUAUUUACCCUUACAUUAUAUACAGGGUUUAUAAAAAAAAGGUAAUCAAACUUCAGCGCGCUAUUGCAUCUGAUGACUUGAUUGCUCUUGUAUGACCGAGAGUUUUUCAUAUUUGGAAAGAUCGGGCUUUUAGCUGUUGAAUGAUAUGUUAGGGAAGCCUCACAUAUUGAUUUUGUCCACGAGAAACGUCAUAUGUUCGUUUCUCUGGAGACCCUCUCCACACCCCCUCCCCCCACCCCACCCUCUUAGAAACGUCACACAUAGUUACCUUGAAAUUUGAGUGUUUUCAAUGCAAGGAAGGCGUAGUUGUGACGUAAUUUCGAAAGAGUGUAUUGCUUUUUCUUUUGUUAUCACUGCUUUAAUUAGGCACAGAGGUGAAAAUAUGCGAUUCUGACUAACAUUUUUUAUCGGACUCGUACUUGCUUAUUUUUUCUUCACUUUGCAUAUGAAAAACAUGUCAUUCAAAAGCUAAAAGCCUGCUUUUUUCGAGCCUUAUGAAAAAAUAUUGUUCAUUGAAGUUGGAUUACCUUUUUUAUACACCCUGUACACGCGAGUUAUGGCAUUUUGAAAAUUUUGUUUUUCCAGAAACUCCAGUCAAAUGUCAGAGGGUCAAAUGUUUAGAAAAAUCAGAAUUUUGCAAACGCCGUCUCGCGCCCAAAUGUCCAAACAACGUGAAAUUUUCAGCGAGUAGACCGAAUUAGUGACGAUUUCAAUAGGCAAUUCCAGCUUUUAGUUUAUGCGUGCAGGGAGCAAUGGAAGUAAGGCAGCAUAUUGCUGAUUAUGCUGAAAAAAAUAAAAAUGGUGGCCGCGUGUAAACACGGAGUGAUAGCUUAUACUUGUAAAUAUUGAAGGCCAUUGAAAUAUUUCGGUUGUUUCGGCAGUUUCUGAAAUUUUUCAGCAUAAUCAGCAAUAUGAUACCUUACUUCCCGCCACCCCAUGUACUGCGCGCAUAUAUUAAAAGCUGGAAUUGGCUAUUCGGUGGUCCAUUGUUGCCAAAGAUCUAUAGCUGGUGAGAUAUGAAAAAUCGACGACGUCAACUAAUAUAACAGUAUAAAAUAUAUACUGAAUUUCUAUGCAGGAUUAACUCGUGCCAGGCAUGCAGUGGAACUGGCAAACAGGAACAAGUUUGCAAAAACUGAAUGAAAUUUAUAAAGAGCCCUCUGUGAACAGGGGCGAAACUUGGGGGACGAAAAACUUGAGGGGGGGCAAUCAAAAUGCGAAAAAUUCCAAUAAAAUUAAAUGAAUUAUGAGUACAAUUUUAAAAGUUAAAAUGUAGAGUUAUUAAGCAACUUAUUACAGCUAGCAAACAAUAUGUUUCGCCCCUGCUGUGAAAGUCUAGUUACACCGCAUUUUUAAUAUAUUUCUAUUAAAACCAUAACAAAUUUGA
rnacentral:lncRNA from 1 species